rnacentral:rRNA from 1 species
GAUGAACGCUGGCGGCGUGCCUAAUACAUGCAAGUCGAGCGAACAGACGAGGAGCUUGCUCCUCUGACGUUAGCGGCGGACGGGUGAGUAACACGUGGCUAACCUACCUAUAAGACUGGGAUAACUUCGGGAAACCGGAGCUAAUACCGGAUAAUAUAUUGAACCGCAUGGUUCAAUAGUGAAAGACGGUUUUGCUGUCACUUAUAGAUGGAUCCGCGCCGCAUUAGCUAGUUGGUAAGGUAACGGCUUACCAAGGCAACGAUGCGUAGCCGACCUGAGAGGGUGAUCGGCCACUCUGGAACUGAGACACGGUCCAGACUCCGACGGGAGGCAGCAGUAGGGAAUCUUCCGCAAUGGGCGAAAGCCUGACGGAGCAACGCCGCGUGAGUGAUGAAGGUCUUCGGAUCGUAAAACUCUGUUAUUAGGGAAGAACAAAUGUGUAAGUAACUAUGCACGUCUUGACGGUACCUAAUCAGAAAGCCACGGCUAACUACGUG